rnacentral:rRNA from 1 species
CAGCAGCCGCGGUAAUACGUAGGGUGCAAGCGUUAAUCGGAAUUACUGGGCGUAAAGCGUGCGUAGGUGGUGGUUUAAGUCCGUUGUGAAAGCCCUGGGCUCAACCUGGGAAUUGCAGUGGAUACUGGGUCACUAGAGUGUGGUAGAGGAUAGUGGAAUUUCCGGUGUAGCAGUGAAAUGCGUAGAGAUCGGAAGGAACAUCUGUGGCGAAGGCGACUAUCUGGGCCAACACUGACACUGAGGCACGAAAGCGUGGGGAGCAAACAGGAUUAGAUACCCCUGUAGUCCCUGUCUCUUAUAC